AUGCAUGUUGAGAACACCAUCCUCGCCUAUCUUGCUGGACGAAUUUCGGUCAGCUGUGUUCACAAUUUGACAUGUCUGCUAGAGAUUGAGCGCAGGCAGCAGUGUAGAGGGAUCAGAAGUGGCACGCAGGACCAUCUCAGAAGUGGCACGCAGGACCAUCUCAGAAGUGGCACGCAAGACCAUCUCAGAAGCAUGGGAGAUGAAGAACUUGAUAGACUUGCUGCAGCGGAAUUGCUCAAUGAAGCAGGGAGAGGCAAAGAAAGAGCUUCAACGAUGGGACCUAAUGGCUGGAAGAAAAGACAGGUCAAGACCAACAAAGUUUUCCUGAAGAACACGUUGAGAGGGGUCAUCUCUGGGAACCGACACCAGUCAAGCUCUAGAGUUGAGAAACGGCACAAGGAUGGUUCUAAGCGAACAGACACAAAUCUUGAUUAUAAAGAUGAGAAUAAAAGUCAAAAGCUGGAUAGGGGAUCGCAUCAUGAUAGGCUGGAAGGAACGUACCAAGAGAGGGACAGAAGGACGCUGGGACAUUCUUCAAGAAGGGAUGACUUUCAUUCUAAGGAAUCUUGUAGCCAGACAAAUUCUAAAUCUUCUGGUGGAAGGGAAAAGAAAGACAGAUAUCACAGAACAAUAUUUUGUGAGGAUGCUUCAUGUUCACCUGAUAAAGGAAAAGAAUGUAAAACAAUUUCUAGGAAGUACACUUCAGCAAAAGAAAAGUGAUGGACUAUUUCUGCACAAUACCAUCAUUAUUUGAAGGCUGCAGCUACAAGCGCCCUUUUACAAAUGAAAGCACAGUACCUUGAUUUUUUUGAAGGCUGAGAACAUCAAUUUGCUUUUAGAUAUUUUCAAUACAAUUUAUUAGAAAUCGUGAAUUGGACAUUACAUGUAUCUGGCAGAUACAUGUAAAUGUGCAUAAACACUUGUCUUUUGGAUAAAAGUGGAACAUACAUGGAUAGGGACAUAUUCAAGAACUAUCAUUCCAUUUUUUUGCUACCAGAACUGAAGAUACAUGCUUCUUUAACUUGCCUUAUUUAUGUCAGAUUGUUAUGGACAUUGAUGUAUGUGUACUUAUUUAUUAUGAAUAAAUCUUAAAGUGAAAACUA